AGCGAACGCUGGCGGCAGGCCUAACACAUGCAAGUCGAACGGAUCCUUCGGGAUUAGUGGCGGACGGGUGAGUAACACGUGGGAACGUGCCCUUUGGUUCGGAACAACUCAGGGAAACUUGAGCUAAUACCGGAUGUGCCCUUCGGGGGAAAGAUUUAUCGCCAUUGGAGCGGCCCGCGUCUGAUUAGCUAGUUGGUGAGGUAAAGGCUCACCAAGGCGACGAUCAGUAGCUGGUCUGAGAGGAUGAUCAGCCACAUUGGGACUGAGACACGGCCCAAACUCCUACGGGAGGCAGCAGUGGGGAAUCUUGCGCAAUGGGCGAAAGCCUGACGCAGCCAUGCCGCGUGAAUGAUGAAGGUCUUAGGAUUGUAAAAUUCUUUCACCGGGGACGAUAAUGACGGUACCCGGAGAAGAGGCCCCGGCUAACUUCGUGCCAGCAGCCGCUGUAACAC
rnacentral:rRNA from 1 species